AAGUCGUAACAAGGUUUCCGUAGGUGAACCUGCGGAAGGAUCAUUAACGAGUCUUUAAUUCUCAGCUGUGCAUUCACUUGCACGCUGGAAAUGACUUUACACACCUGUGCACCUUUGCGUACUUCUUGCAAAAGUCGUUCGCUUUUUUACACCUUUUUGUAUGUCUUUGAAUGUUCUCGAGUGUGCUGUGAUGGCGCAUUCGUAUUAAAAAUAAUACAACUUUCAGCAACGGAUCUCUUGGCUCUC
rnacentral:misc_RNA from 1 species